UGCUGACAAAUAUAGAAAAAGAGUUACGUCACUUUUCUUAAGAGUACAACCAGCUAACAAAUCUUCUAACUCUAAAAGUCCCUCUUAGAGACUAAUAUUCAAAAAUUAUAUUUUUAUCAAAAAUUUAGCAAUAAUUAUUUUAAGAAUAGGAAUUUCAUGUCCUAACACCCUCACUGGGUUGACCAAGUAGAGGUUCUUGAUAUCCCAUUUGGUUUUAAUAAAAACCCAUUGCUUCAACUAGGAGACUACUUAAGGCAGUGCAGAUGGCUUAAUAAAGAUUGAGGGUAACUAAAUCAUCAGUGUCCGACAAGAGCUAAAGUGGAAUCCGGCACGCUAUCGGUGGUCAUAGGUCAGGACCUCCCCAUCCAUUAGGGUUGAUCAAGAUUAUUGAGGAGAGCUCUUUGCUGUAUCUAACAACCCUAGAGGGAUAGUAGAAAGAAAAAAUAUAUAUAGAGAGAAACAAGAUGAGAGCCUGAGGAAGAGAGAAAAAGGGAGAGAACAAAACUCUCUCU
rnacentral:lncRNA from 1 species